GAAGCCUUUGAAAACCGGCGUGUCGCGUGCAAUCGCACUGCAGAGGUCAGGGGUUCGAUUCCCCUCAGCUCUACCA
rnacentral:tRNA from 1 species